rnacentral:rRNA from 1 species
UACGUAGGGUGCAGGCGUUAAUCGGAAUUACUGGGCGUAAAGCGUGCGCAGGCGGUUUGCUAAGACAGGUGUGAAAUCCCCGGGCUUAACCUGGGAACUGCGCUUGUUACUGGCAGGCUUGAGUGUGGCAGAGGGGGGUGGAAUUCCACGUGUAGCAGUGAAAUGCGUAGAGAUGUGGCGGAACACCGAUGGCGAAGGCAGCCUCCUGGGCCAAUCCUGACGCUCAGGCACGAAAGCGUGGGGAGCAAACAGG